rnacentral:rRNA from 1 species
UACGUAUGGUGCAAGCGUUAUCCGGAUUUACUGGGUGUAAAGGGAGCGUAGGUGGCAGAGUAAGUCUGAUGUGAAAGCCCGGGGCUCAACCCCGGGAUUGCAUUGGAAACUGCUCAGCUAGAGUAUCGGAGGGGUAAGUGGAAUUCCUAGUGUAGCGGUGAAAUGCGUAGAUAUUAGGAGGAACACCAGUGGCGAAGGCGACUUACUGGACGAUAACUGACACUGAGGCUCGAAAGCGUGGGGAGCAAAC